rnacentral:rRNA from 1 species
GACGAACGCUGGCGGCGUGCCUAAUACAUGCAAGUAGAACGCUGAAGGAGGAGCUUGCUUCUCCGGAUGAGUUGCGAACGGGUGAGUAACGCGUAGGUAACCUGCCUGGUAGCGGGGGAUAACUAUUGGAAACGAUAGCUAAUACCGCAUAAGAGUAGAUGUCGCAUGACAUUUGCUUAAAAGGUGCAACUGCACCACUACCAGAUGGACCUGCGUUGUAUUAGCUAGUUGGUGAGGUAACGGCUCACCAAGGCAACGAUACAUAGCCGACCUGAGAGGGUGAUCGGCCACACUGGGACUGAGACGCGGCCCAGACUCCUGCGGGAGGCAGCAGUAGGGAAUCUUCGGCAAUGGACGGGAGUCUGACCGAGCAACGCCGCGUGAGUGAAGAAGGUUUUCGGAUCGUAAAGCUCUGUUGUAAGAGAUGAACGAGUGUGGGAGUGGAAAGUUCACACUGUGACGGUAUCUUAACAGAAAGGGACGGCUAACUACGUG